rfam:Pseudomonas putida CSV86 contig00173, whole genome shotgun sequence.
UUGGUUAGAACUCAACUCAGGUCGUGACCGCAACGGUACGACACUUCUGCUCGCCACGCCGGCAGCGAGCGCACACCGGCAGAAAGAAUCUGCCCGACCUCAACGAGGUCGACGGGACAUUACAGUCAAC